UACACAGAGAUGUGGAGUGGAUGUUGACAAUGUAGGCGCUUGUUUGGACAGUUUCGCUGUUAUCUUCGUUUGUCUGUCGCCUGACCCGCAACUCUCACUUAAUUCACUUCGAAUUUUACAUAAAGCCACUAUAAAUUCGUUUACACAUCCAGGAACAGACUCAGCGAUGAACUCUGGAAGCGGACGAGAACAGUUCACUUGGACGCUUUGAGCAUUUCCAGCGAUGGACAAGCAGAAAGUGCUGGCUCGGCUGGUUUCGGACCUGCAGGCCUUCUUGCUGGUUCUGGACAGUGAGAAUCUCAGUUAUAUCGCUCAGGCCCAGAAAAAAUCCAUCUCAGAGCUGCUAUAUAAACUGCAGGACAACAGGGACGCACCAGAGGAUGCGGAGUACAUGAUUAUGAACUGUCCCUCUGGAGGCCCCAGUGAUCUCAGGGAAAGCACCGAUGCUGAGGCUCAUUCGACCGAGGAAGCUCUUUCCGUCAGCUCUACUGACCGCCUGCAGCCCGGGGU
rnacentral:lncRNA from 1 species